rnacentral:rRNA from 1 species
UACGUAGGGUGCGAGCGUUUGUCCGGAAUUAUUGGGGCGUAAAGAGCUUGUAGGUGGUUUGUCGCGUCUGCUGUGAAAAUCCGAGGCUCAACCUCGGACUUGCAGUGGGUACGGGCAGACUAGAGUGUGGUAGGGGAGACUGGAAUUCCUGGUGUAGCGGUGAAAUGCGCAGAUAUCAAGGAGGAACACCGGUGGGCGAAGGCGGGUCUCUGGGC